UACAGAGGUCCCAAGCGUUUGUUCGGAUUCACUGGGCGUAAAGGGUGCGUAGGUGGUGAGGUAAGUCGGAUGUGAAAGCUCGGAGCUCAACUCCGAAAUGGCAUUGGAAACUACCUUGCUCGAGGGUUGGAGGGGGGACUGGAAUACUUGGUGUAGCAGUGAAAUGCGUAGAUAUCAAGUGGAACACCAGUGGCGAAGGCGAGUCCCUGGACAACUCCUGACACUGAGGCACGAAAGCUAGGGGAGCAAACAGG
rnacentral:rRNA from 1 species